rnacentral:rRNA from 1 species
CCUACGGGAGGCAGCAGUAGGGAAUUUUCGUCAAUGGGCGCAAGCCUGAACGAGCGAUGCCGCGUGAGUGAAGAAGGCCUUCGGGUCGUAAAGCUCUGUUGCGGGGGAAAAAAGGCAGCAUCAGGAAAUGGGUGCUGACUGAUGGUGCCCCGCCAGAAAGUCACGGCUAACUACGUGCCAGCAGCCGCGGUAAUACGUAGGUGGCGAGCGUUAUCCGGAAGGAUUGGGCGUAAAGGGUGCGCAGGCGGUCCUGCAAGUCUGGAGUGAAACGCAUGAGCUCAACUCAUGCAUGGCUUUGGAAACUGGAGGACUGGAGAGCAGGAGAGGGCGGUGGAACUCCAGGUGUAGCGGUAAAAUGCGUAGAUAUAUGGAAGAACACCAGUGGCGAAGGCGGCCGCCUGGCCUGUUGCUGACGCUGAGGCACGAAAGCGUGGGGAGCAAAUAGGAUUAGAUACCCUUGUAGUC